UCUCUCACAUCAUCUUCUACUUUCUGUCCUUCAAACCGCGUUCUAUUUCUUCUCCUCUGCCACACUCUUUCAAAGAAACCAACAAAACCGACCCUGGAAACACAAAGGUCUCAACACCAAACCACUUCAUCUCAUCUCCACCAACACAAAUUUCCCAACAAUUUGAAGAAACAAACAACAAAAAUUAUUAAAAUCAAGAUUUUCCCUUUUAAAAUCCUAACUGCAAUUCACGCAAAAUCGAAAACAAUCGUGAACAAAUUAAUGUAUAACGUAAAAUUGAGCAUCAAAGCGAGGAUGAAAGUACUGAAAGAAAGUAAAAAGAGGAAAAGAAUACAUAUCUCUGCAUUUCUUCUAGCAAUAUCCCGACGAGGUUCCGGUAGGUAUUUCUUUAUUUCUCUGAGCUCUGUCUAUAUCCCUUCUAAGUCCUCUUCUAAAAACUGGGGGUCGAACAACCAUAUGAGGAGGAUAAACAGAUUCAUCCCUUAUAGAAGAAGAAGAAUUAGGGAUAAAAUUAGGAGUUUCAGUAGAAUGAGGUUGUUGAGCCAUUAA